rnacentral:rRNA from 1 species
UUUUUCAGGGGGAACCCCCUGCGGAGGGAUCAUUAAAGAGUUAAAAACAACUCCUAAACCCAUGUGAAACCUACCUUUGUUGCCUCGGCAGGUCUGCAACUUACCCUGAGGGUACCUACCCUGUAGGUACCUUACCCGGUAGUUGCGGGCAUAACCUGCCGGUGGUCUACUAAACUCUGUUUACUAUGUCAUUCUGAAUAAUAUAACUAAAUAAGUUAAAACUUUCAACAACGGAUCUCUUGGUUCUGGCAUCGAUGAAGAACGCAGCGAAAUGCGAUAAGUAAUGUGAAUUGCAGAAUUCAGUGAAUCAUCGAAUCUUUGAACGCACAUUGCGCCCAUUAGUAUUCUAGUGGGCAUGCCUGUUCGAGCGUCAUUUCAACCCUUAAGCCCUGUUGCUUAGCGUUGGGAGCCUACAGAUACCCUCUGUAGUUCCUUAAAGUUAGUGGCGGAGUCGGUUUCACACUCUAGACGUAGUAAAUUUUAUCUCGCCUAUAGAUGAGCCGGUCCCUUGCCGUAAAACCCCCUAAUUUCUAAAGGUUGACCUCGGAUCAGGUAGGAAUACCCGCUGAACUUAAGCAUAUUAAUUUAAGGCA